UACGAAGGAGGCUAGCGUUGCUCGGAAUCACUGGGCGUAAAGCGCACGUAGUCGGCUUUGCAAGUCGGGUGUGAAAUCCCCGGGCUCAACCUGGGAACUGCAUCCGAGACUGCAUUGCUAGAGUAUGGGAGAGGGAAGCGGAAUUUCUGGUGUAGCAGUGAAAUGCGUAGAUAUCAGAAGGAACAUCAGUGGCGAAGGCGGCU
rnacentral:rRNA from 1 species